rnacentral:rRNA from 1 species
UACAGAGGGUGCGAGCGUUGUCCGGAAUCACUGGGCGUAAAGGGCGCGUAGGUGGCGACCCAAGUCUGUGGUGAAAGCUCGACGCUCAACGUCGAGUCGGCCAUAGAUACUGGGUUGCUUGAGCACUGUAGAGGCAGAUGGAAUUCCGGGUGUAGCGGUGGAAUGCGUAGAGAUCCGGAAGAACACCGGUGGCGAAGGCGGCCUGCUGGGCAGUUACUGACACUGAUGCGCGACAGCGUGGGGAGCGAACAGG